GCCCAGUCGGUGGGGAUAACGUAGACGAAAGUUACGCUAAUACCGCAUACGAUCUAAGGAUGAAAGCGGGGGACUCGCAAGAGCCUCGCGCGAUUGGAGCGGCCGAUAUCAGAUUAGGUAGUUGGUGGGGUAAAGGCUCACCAAGCCAACGAUCUGUAGCUGGUCUGAGAGGACGACCAGCCACACUGGAACUGAGACACGGUCCAGACUCCUACGGGAGGCAGCAGUGGGGAAUUUUGGACAAUGGACGCAAGUCUGAUCCAGCCAUUCCGCGUGCAGGAUGAAGGCCCUCGGGUUGUAAACUGCUUUGUACGGAACGAAAAGGUUUCUAUUAAUACUAGGAGCUCAUGACGGUACCGUAAGAAUAAGCACCGGCUAACUACGUG
rnacentral:rRNA from 1 species